rnacentral:rRNA from 1 species
UACGGGGGGAGCAAGCGUUUGUUCGGAUUUACUGGGCGUAAAGGGCGCGUAGGCGGCGUGACAAGUCACUUGUGAAAUCUCCGGGCUUAACUCGGAACGGUCAAGUGAUACUGUCGUGCUAGAGUACAGAAGGGGCAACUGGAAUUCUCGGUGUAGCGGUGAAAUGCGUAGAUAUCGAGAGGAACACCUGCGGCGAAGGCGGGUUGCUGGGCUGAUACUGACGCUGAGGCGCGAAAGCUAGGGGAGCGAACGGGG